GCCGGGUUAGCUCAUUUGGUAGAGCAAUCGAUUCGUAAUCGAUAGGUGACGAGUUCAACUCUCGUAUCCGGCUCCA
rnacentral:tRNA from 1 species